rnacentral:pre_miRNA from 1 species
GUAGUACUCCCUCCAUUUGGAAUUACUUGUCACAAAAAUGGAUGUAUCUACAACUAAAAUACAUCUAGAUACAUUCAUUUCUUGGACGAGUAAUUCCGAACGGAGGGAGUAUGUA